AUCUUCAUCCAUCAUUCUGGCGAGAAGGUCAUAGUUCAGGUCAUCAGAGUUAUACAUCAGGUGUUCCUGUUAACAAGUGUCUCUACUGUUAGCUAAUGAGUCUAUACAGCAGGGUGUCCCUGAUGAAAAUUUUAUCUACUACCAGUAAAUGAGAUAGUUGCUCAUACCACAAAUUGGAUGUUGAAUAGAUGCCUCCACCUUAUCUUCCAUUUGCCAUACAUCUGUGCAUCCUUACUAAUCAGCAUACGUGAAAAGGUUGUCCAGCCAAGUAUUGUUAAUUGACCAUCAGGCCCAAACUCAUGUAUGAAAUCAUCCCCAUUGAGGAGGACCAAGGUCAUGACCAGGUGCUUGAACCAUUUCCUGCACAUAUUUUCCCCAUUUGGGUGUAGAGGUAUUAAGUUUUUUGAUAGAAUCGCAUGCAAAUUACCAAAAUGAAGGACAAAUAGCAAGGCCCACCUGUCACGAUCACUCCUCACACUAUGCACCAUUUUGUCAUAGAAUUGCAGUACGUUUUGAGCAAUUCGUAUUUCAUGUCUUAGCCCAACUCUACCAGGAAACAUUUCCCCCAUCUCAUCCUUCACCUCAAUCCUUACUAUCCCCACUGGCAACCUUAGAUUCAUUGCCAUUCUUUCCGACACAGGUGCUGCAAAAUCAACAAUUUCUUGUAAGCAAUCAAAAAGGUUUUCAACCUCCAUAUAUUUUUCUUAUAUCCGAAUUAAUAUAACAAAGAAUUACACCUGUUGCCCUGCCAGCACUCUAAUCUCUAGUGCUUCUCUGAACCAACGGAUCUCUAUCC
rnacentral:lncRNA from 1 species